UUAACAUCUAUCAGUGCAUUUUCCUUCCGCACCCGCUCUAGGUCUCUCUCUGACCCUGACUCCCUUCCUCCAUUGGACGGCGCCGAGCCUCUCCUUCCCCGGUGGCGGUGCUGCCCGCUCUUUCCAACCCAAACCAUCGCGCCGUUGCAUGCAGAUUCACUGGAGACUCCAACUGGUUAUCGUGAUUUGCAGCCUGCCAUGAUAGCUUGCUGAGUCCGCACGUUGAAAGUCUGAAAUCUUGUCAUGACUGUGGCUGUUGAACAUGAAGAUGACGGUGUCGCUGCCGUCAUCGGCGUUGAUAGUUAUGAUAUCUUCAUUGCUGGCUCAUUCUUGAAGAAAAAAGACGAAUGUUGUCGCGAAAUGGGCCCGUGGGUUUGAUCAGACAGCCCGACUCUGCAAAUGUAUGGAACGCGAAGAGCUUGGGCAUUCUCUUUCUCCUCUUGUAGGACUCGAAGAUUGGAAUUGAACUAUGCUCAUGCAGAGAACCAGGAAGAAAGAGAAAACAUAGAGAGGGGAGAAACAGGGAGCUCAUAUUUGGUCUGAUCUGCUGUUCGUAUGGUUUCAUUUCAAAGGAUUCACCUGUGUGUGCUCCAAGUGUUCGAAAGAAUGACACAAAGGAGCUGUGAUUCACAUUGCUACGGCUUACAGUACCAGACUUGUCGAACUGGUAUUUCUCAUUCCAGUAUAGGAUUGGUUUUUGCUAGUGAUAAAGGAGUUCUCCUCUCCUUGCAGUAGCAGAUUUGUUGGAAUGGUUUGUAGCAAUAGUUGUUUAAGAUUUGGUUUAUUAUCAUUCCAGUAAAGGAUUAUCUUUUAUUGGUUUUCUGAUGUCCAUUUGGAUAUGUUAAUUUCGCUGAUUUUGACAGGGAGGAUGGUGUUCGUGUAUUUGUUCGCAUCGUCUUGAGUUUGUCUGAAUUUCAGUGUUUUUGUUUUUUUUUUUUGUUUUGAUCGGAUUUUCUUAUUUCCGAUUGCCUGUUGUGUUGCUCCGGCUAUGCCGUGUCUCGUCACUCCUCCUCAGAGACAGUUGAUCUCUUCAUCUGAAGCAACUUUAGAUCUUGCCUUGAUAAAUUUCAGUUAAUACUGCAGAUAUCUAGAUCUGCUUUUGUCUUCUUCUUCUUCAGAAAUUUCUUUCUGAUAGAUGGUGCUGUCUUUGAUCAACUCCGAGCUUUUUCUCUUGAGCGUCAAGUUCCAAUGGUUCUUGUUUCGUGUUAUAAGUCCGUUGAGUUCGAUUGAAGAACUCGCCUUCUAAACGAGCCGGAGUUUCUUGAAUUUUGAAGGAAGUUUUUCGCAGGUUUUUCCUUCGUUUUUGUCUCACUGCUGCCUUCAGCUUGGCGAUAUUGUUUUGGUCUUCACUUCGCAGCAAUUUUCUUCUUCACCGGCACAUUUUAAUUCAAUCGUCGGAGUUGAGAACUUUGAAUUUCUCGAAGUUUCAGAGCAAUCUCCAGUUUCUCCCGACGUAGUUGUCUUUCUCAUCAUUUUCUUGUUUUCAGUUACUCCAAACCAAUUAGGUCUCACAAUAUUCUGAUUUCAAGCCAGGCUGCUGUAAGCCCAAACCCAAGCCCAAGCCCACCAGUGAUUGAAACUUACAGAUUACACAACCCUGGCUUCCUUCUCUUAUUUUAAAAGCCCAUAAUCUCAACACAAAGUAUCCCAUCACAAGUUAAAGGUUUGGGUGUUCCUUCUUUCUUUUGUGUAUUUUUUAUAAGAGACUUGCAAACAUACCAUCGUCCGAAAGUAUUGUACAUAUUUUUUAAGAACAUGAUCCUGAACAAUGAUAAUAAUUUUGGAAUCUGAGAUUUUAGUUCACCGAUGCCAACUGUGUAUCUCUCUCAUCUUGCCGAUGUCGAAUGUGCGUCUCUCUCGCGCCGACGCCAACUCUUCCUCUCAAGAUCUGUGAAGUAGUUUCUCUGAUAGCAAGAUGGAGAUGGGAGUUCUCAGGUUGGUUCGGCUUGCCCCAUCUAAGAAGAGAAAAAUCCACAUUCUCCAAGAUGUUAGUGGAGUAGUGAAAUCAUCAAGGAUGACCCUGCGUCUGGGUCCGCCAUCCUCAGGUAAAACAACAUUGCUGCUGCCUGCUGGCACUUGCAGUGAAGCUUGAUAAGAACUUUAGGGAAAUGGGAAAAGUCACCUACUGCGGUCAUGAAUCGAGUGAAUUUGUCCCUCAGAGGACCUGUGCUUAUAUUAGUCAGCGUGAUCUUCAUUAUGGAGAAAUGACAGUGAGACAGACAUUGGAUUUCUCUCGACGCUGUUUGGGGGUUGGCACAAGGUAUUAAAUGCCAGAAGAACUCUCAAGGCGAGAGAAACAAGAGGGAAUCAAACCAGAUCCUGAGAUAGAUACAUUCAUGAAGGCCACAGCAUCGGCAGGCCAAAAAGCCAGUUUGGUUACUGAUUAUGUUCUCAAGGUGAAUUAAUUCCAAAAACUGGUACAUUUGUCUUCUUACACAAGGAGCCGAGUUUAAACUAUGGUUAAAUCCUCAAACUUAACUGAUACUUGAAUUGGAUAUUUGUGCUGGUUCUGGUUGGUGACGAAAUGAGAAGAAGAAUUUCUGGUGGACGGAAGAAGCGUGUGACAACUGGAGCGAUGUUGGUAGGACCAGCAAUGGCUCUUUUUAUGGAUGACAUAUCAACUGGGCUGGACAGUUCCACAACUUUCCAGAUUGUCAAAUUCAUGCGGCAAAUGGUUCGCAUUAUGCAUGUAACCAUGAUCAUUUCCCUUCUAUAGCCUGCACUUGAGACAUUUGAUCUUUUUUAUUGAGUGAUGUUACCCCCAAGACUCUCCAGAGUUCAAGACGUGUUUCACGUAGCAGUGAUGAGGAAGUACGUGCCAGACCUUUCGCACGUGCUAGGUGAUGAACCUUUAGAGAUCGCUGAUGCAUUAGCAUACGAGGAGGUACCAGUUCAGAUUAUGGAUCAGAAGGUACAGAAGCUAUGUAAAGACCCAGAAAUUUUAAUAAUUAAAUUUGAGAAGAAGGAUAAAUUUAAAGGAGAUUAA